rnacentral:lncRNA from 1 species
UUAGAACUUAUUCUUGUAUGUUGAUUGAGAGUGCACACUUAAUUUGCAUGCUUGAAUUUGGUGCUAGGAUAUAAGUUUGUUUCACCUAAUCGUUAUGAAUUUAUAUUCGCAAGUAGUGAAGGUCGCUAGUCACGAUCGUGUUAAGUAGAUUCCUGGCAAGAGUAUCAUGCUUUUCAUAGUUACAAAUGCCUUGUCAAUGCUUAUGAUUUCCAAGGAACGUAAUGAUUCUAACUUGUGUCUUUAUCAUGUUGUUCAUAUAGAGAACUUGUUAGGAAUAAUUUGUUUGCGAUGCAUAUUCAUCCAAUUCAAUGAUUCU